rnacentral:lncRNA from 1 species
CCAUAAGAACUUCAUGGUUAAGCGUGCUUAGCCUGGAGAAAUUCUGGGAUGGGUGACAUUCCGGGAAGUUUUCCCGAAAAGUGUGCGAGUGAGGACAAAGCACACUGGAAAGUCUCGUGGUGAUGUGUGGGGGCAGUCAACAGUCCCUGUAAGUUGCCGGGGCGUUACAGAUGGUAUCAAAGCCUAGCCUCUCCCAGUACGGUGUGGUUCGAAGACGAACCAGACGGAAGCUGGUGGGCAUGUGACACCCGG